GGUAAAUUAUUAAAUUAAUAUUAUUUAGGUGCUAUAUUGUUCUUUGAGGGCAAAAAGUAUCCCAAACAGUAGGCUAUAGAGUUAUCAUGGCAGACAUGGCAUGUAGCGCUACCUAAUUUAGCCUAAAUACACAACUGGAACAAAAGCAAGUCACAAACUCUGUAACUCCACAUCACGGUUUUAUUU